CGCAGUUCCAGUAAACUGUGAAGCUUCUCUGCUUUACGGGGAGUCUCAGAAUGGGGCUGCAGCCACCCUGAUGGAGAAGACCCGCCGUGCGGAGCCCACUCCCACCCCGCGCCUUCUCAUACAACGAUAGGGGAACUGUGUACGAUAAAACUUUCGCAGGCCUUUUCCCAUCCCAUUCGGGGUGUAAUCCCGGAGGACUGCUUGGGACCUUAGUUUUAAUACUGUGUGGACAUAUUGCAGUGCACGAGAAUUCGGGAGUUCUCAAAAUGUUUCAAAAAUGGCAAUUUAAAUUCGAGAGAAAACUGACACUUCGGGUGUAGUAGUUCAGGCACCAGACUAAAAAUUUAUAGUCCUCACUUUUGCGCAAAGUCACUUUGGGCUAGUCCCUCUCUCUUCAGUCCUAAGAAGCAGGCAAUUUUUUUCUUCUAAGAAAACUGCAAGGACUUGUCCAGGCACUCACCAGGAGAAAAAGGAAGGAAGGAAGGAAGUAGCAAAAAGCUAAAAGAACACUUUUGAGCCUGAAACAUAUCCAUCUAUCCUGAAUAUCUUUUUAUUUUUCUGCUCCAUUCCAUUCUUCCAUUGAAACUCAAAAUUCCAAGGCUGUUUUUCGUACAGGAAAGAAUAUUCUACUAAAGGGCCUUCUCUGUGGGGGCUCCCACUCUCUGGAACGAACUCCCCCCAGGACUUCGUCAACUUCCGGACCUCCGAACGUUCCGCCGCGAGCUUAAAACACACCUAUUUAUCUGUGCAGGACUGGAGUAGAUUUUAAAUUUUAUAUUGGUUUUAAAUGGGUUUUAUUAUUUAUAUGGUUUUUUAAAAAAUUGGGCCAUGUAGAAUAAGCUUUUUAACUGUUAUUUUAUUCUGUAUUUAUAUGUAUUUUUAUUUGCCUGUGAACCGCCCUGAGUCCCUAGGGAGAUAGGGCGGUAUAUAAAUAUGAUAAAUAAAUAAAUAAAUAAAUAAAAUAAAUUAAGAUUGGUGUUUGUUUUUAUGGGAGGUCCUUAAUAAGCAUCUUUUAAGAUACAGUAUUAAUCUUUAAAGUAUAAAAGGAUGAAAUGACAGAAGAUAACUGGUAUAACGUAAUAGAUGAGAAUAGUUUUUGUGUUAGAAAGCUAUAUAUUGAUUAGAUGACUGUAGGCUUUCUCAAUUUCAUCCUGCAUAAAGGGAAUGAUAAUACAAUGUGUCUUUACUGUAAAAAAUACUGAAAAUAAUAUAUAAAAAUAUUGAACUUUCUGCUAUAUUUGUGCUACACAAAUGUGUGAUUUAUAUUGAACUUUCUGCUAUAUUUAUCCUAUAUGAAUACUUAACAUUUAACUAUUGCCUUUCUCCCCAUUGGGCACAUUUUAAUUGCUUAAGAAACCUGGCAGGAAAAAAAUGCAAUUCUUUGGAAUAGCAUAUUUUUCCACUAACAGUUAUCAUUAUUUGGUAGUUGUUAACCCAUUUCUUUUUCCUUUCAUCCAUUUUUUUUUCCUUUUAAUGUCAAGGACUAAGAAGACUCAAAACUGCAUAUUUUCCACUGAAUGCUGUUCCUUUUAAGGGCAGGAAAUGAGGCUUUCACAUGCCAAUAAUGCUGAUCAGCCUUCUUUUUUCUCCCAAUUGCCCAUGCCCUUCAUCCCCUUCAAACAGAAUAGCUAUUCUGAGCAUUUGUGAACUUACACAAAUCACAAUUUCAAAAAAUGCCACCUGUGCCAAUCAGCUUUGUACUUUAUCUCUAAUUUAUUGGUCAGAGAACUUCUGCCUACAUGUAGAUCUGUGUUGGAAACUCCACUCAGAGUUACCUUAUAGUAAGACGGGAAGCCACUAAAUUUAAUAAGUAAGUAAACAAACACACACACACACAUACAGACACACGUUAUUUCAAGAUGCAGUAAUAUCAAUAUUACGAUAAAGAAAUUCAGCAAGAUGUAUGAAAUACAGAAUGUUUUUUAAGAGAGUAUGCUUGAUUAUGUCUAUCAAGUCUUUUUCAUAGCGACCAGGUAGCUAGUUUUUUAGGGUGUGAGUACAGGUAUAUGAUACACCUGCACAUGCUUACAAUUGUGUGUAUAGCUUACCUGCAAAAUUGGAAGAAGGAGAACCCACCAACGGAAGAAGAUUUAAUUAAGAAAAUCCUAGAAUGUGCAGAGAUGCAUAAACUCACAAAAGAAAUCAAAGAAAAAGAGGAUACAGAAUAUUAUACGGUCUGGUGUAGAUGGUAUGAAUGGUUGGAAAAUAGGAAAGAUAAGAAAAUUGAAUAACAGGGUAAAAUGUAGGGGAAAUAAAGGAAGAUAGAUAAUAUAAAAGUAGAAUAAGAUAGAAUUAAAAUAUAUAUAAAUAGUAAGAAAAGACUGCUUUUAAUAGCUGAUAAGAAACAGUGAUA